CAAUCAGAGGUUCAGGCCGUGAUUCAGCAGCCCCAUACAGGGGCCAUAAACAUUAUUUCAAGACUGAGAACAGAGAUACUAAACAAGUCAUUGCCUCUCCUGUGAGAGAAAGGGUUGUCAUAAGGGUUUCCAGAUUCAUAUUGUUGACUGUCCAGAAAAGCAAUGAUCAUUGAUGACUGUAACAAUACUAAUUAAAGAACAUAUCUAUUCUGUAUAGUAAUGAAGAAAGUGACAGAAAGGUGACAUAAAGGCAGACAGAAACUGGUGACAGAAAGGCAAAAAAUCAUGAAAAAAUACACCUUUCAACUGUAUGAAUAGAAAUCUUGGAUUGCUUCAAGUAUCCUACCUAAAUAUCUGUAAAUCUUGGCUUCCUUGCUGGCAGGGCAAAACUACCGGGAAAAGUUGUGUAAAUCUUAAUGUGGAUCCAAGAUCAUAAUGAUUAAUAAUAAUAAUUAAAAUAAUAAUGAAUUUAACUCUACUUGAGACCAAUUGGUCUCAGGGAAGACCUGGCUUUUGUGACAGCUGUCAUCACAAAUCCAUGGGUUACCUGCUUUGUCCCAAGAACUACAUUCUUCAUUUGCUGAAUUUGCCUUCAGCGUACAAAUGAGAGCAUAGGCAGGUAGCUUUUCUAUCUGAAAGUUAAUUUUCUCUGCUAUUAUUAUUUUGACUUAGUUGACUUACAGCAAUUAUUUAUGCAGACCUAUCUCACUAACCUAAUCAGUUUCAACACAUUUUUUUCUCCAGAAAUCAACCUUGGGUGGCAGGAGAAAAGCUAUUAUUUCAGAUGCUGCUUUAUUGGAUGACAAUAACAAGCGUAUAGGGAGUAAUUGCUCAAUCCUGUUGUUGGUUUUUUAAGAUAUGAGCUAUAGCAGGCUGGGUUGGACCAAGAAAAGGAGCAGACAUCUGUUCACAGGUCCUCAGGCUAUGUUUUCUUGAUCUUUCCUCAUCACAAUGCCUUGAUUUAAGAAUAAGAAGUGCUGUGUGCAGCUGGAGAGUGAAAAUGCUGAUAUUUUUCUCUUUGUCCAUUGAUCUGAGCACUGCCCUACAUGGAUCUGAAGGGUUUCAGUGUGUCUCACAAAUCCCAGUGAAAUUGACUCUCAUUUAUCCUGUUAUUUGGCUAUUUAUUGUUGCCCUUUUCUUCCCUGUGGGCCUAGAUGUGACACACAGAUUCAUGCUAGCAUUUUCAAACACUGCCUCUGCAGCUGGGUUAAUAGCAAGAUGGUCAACUAAGAAGCCUGCUUUGGGAAGAUUUUUUUAUAUUCUAAAAAUAAAAUUUGCCAGAUGUUUAUUUAGAAAGCUGGUAGAGCAGACUGAGAGUAAUUCCCAUUUCUGCAAGUGGAAAUUGGAAUUCACUAUUACUGGGCAUUAAAUGUUUGGAUGCUUUUCCGAGGUCCUUAAAUCUAUUUCAUUUCCAUGUUGACAGAGAUAUUAGACAGCUGUUGGAAAAUCUGUCCCUUCUUCCAGUGCUGCAGCAAGAAAACUUUUCGUUUAACUACUGGGAGUCAAUAAAACCCUUUAAUGUACUAAUCAGUGCCGAGUGAAGUGAAGGAAAGUAUAAGAAAGAGUCCUUUCACUUCAAUUUUGUGCGAAACAUUGGCUCUUUCAGCUUACUGCUGUCACUGCUGGCUGUAUUUGUGACAGACUGGAGGGCUGAAGCAUGGUUCUGAACGGUGACUCCAAGGACUGGAUGUGGGAUCAGCAAAAGGUUCUGCUUUCUGCACACUUGGGAUGGAGCAGGAGAUUGUCCCUGCACUGCCCACAGCUUCAGUUGGGAGAAUGCGUGCACUCAAGCUUUUCUGCGCACAUGGAAGGACUGCUCAGUUCAGCCCUGAGAUGGCCACUGUUAAGAGGUGUUUCACAACUUGCUGGAUUCUCAGUGGAAUGCAUGAACAUCUUGGGAGAACUUCUACUGGUGAAGACUGCCUAUGAGCCCACAGGUGCCAGGGCACGGUUGGAACCUGCAGGCACUCCUGGCUGCAGAUGGCUGAGAAAAAAGACCCACUUGAGCUACUGAGGAAUCUUCCCACUUUCUAGAGUUACUGAAUGCCAUAGAGGAAAGGAACAAGUUUAAAAAACAAUUAGUAGGACAUGUGGUGCUCAUUCUUGGCUGAAGCUGCACAUUCUCAUCUGCCUGAAAAUACUCAGCAGUCGUUCAUGAAAAAUGUUUUUAAACUAAUGAGCUAUAUUUGCAUUCCCCUUAGAAUGGAUUCAGAAUUUUUCAUCUACAGUGCACCAUGAAAAAUGGAUGUGUUUUUCACAGAGGUAAUUUGAACAUAAACCACCGCAUCAAUGGAAGACAACCUUUGCAGAAACUUUUUAACUUAGCACAUUCCAUUUGUUUUCGCUGGGGAAGGUCAAACUUGUGUGAGAGAUGUAAAUUUCAUGCACAAACCUAGAUGCUGAUGAGAUUUGUUUUUGCAGAUAAUCUGCAGCAGAGAAAUUUUUCAUAAUGUCACUGCAAAAUAAAUUAAAAUGUUCAUCUUCAUAUGGCUGGUUCCAUUGCAUUAAAAUAAAUGUUGCAAGCUCAUUUAAUUAGUAUAGUUAGGAAUGUCUCUUCCCUGCUUCACUGACUCUCCAAAUCACAAGUUAAUUUGUCAAAAUCAGACCAUUGUUUUUCCUUCAUUCUUCAUUACUGAAAAGACAGCCCCAUUUAAAUAAAUGUUUAUGCUACAGAGAGCAGAGCGGUGAACAACCCCAAAUAUUUUUCUAAGGCAAUGUUAGAAAAGUUUUGAGUGCAAAGAGCUUUUGUGUGUGUGUGUGUGUGUGUGCCUGUGUGUAUUGUUAUUGGAUAUUUGACUAGCUAGCUGGAAAGGUACAAAAUUGAGCAGUCUGCUGUAACUGAUGAUGUUGCGCACACCAUCUCUCAUGCCAGCGGCUACAUGCACUUGGAAGCAGUUUUCUUCUCUGUUUUCAGAGACAAAUGAUGACAAAAGAUACAACCUCUAUAAAUUACCCUAAUCAAAUCAUUCUCUUCAAGAACUCUUGGUUAAUCAAUUAGUCAGUGUUCACAGUUCUUAUGAAUAUCACUUCAAAGCUUCCCAUAGUGUUGCUCUCUUCCAACAGCAAAUAUUUACAGCAUUUUAUUAAAAAUAAAUAAAUGAAAACAAUUGCACAUACAGCAAAUAGAGAACUUCUGCAACCAUACGGAGACCAUUCAUACAAAGCAAACAUUUUAGAUUUACAAAUAUCACUGACGUAGCAGUUACUUGAAUUUCUUUUUUUAUUAAUUGACUCAGUUAUUACAUACACCAGGAUAUUUCAGAGGGCAUGAUCACAAAUAGAUAGAAAAGACCACUAGAUCAUCAGCUGAGCCCCAUACUAACGCAUUUUUACACUCUAUGAGGCAGAUUUUCCUUCUGUGGCUUAUACUGCAGGACUGUUCUCCAGCCUUCUGGAAAAGCCUUUUGACCUUAAGAGGGAAAGCAGCUACAGCUCACUGCUCUCUUCCUUCUAACUGAGAAGAUUCAGAACAAACCACUUAGAAGAUUCCUGUGAUUUUUCUUAUCAAAUGGAAG